rnacentral:rRNA from 1 species
UAGUAGCGGCGAGUGAAGCGGCAAAAGCUCAAAUUUGAAAUCUGGCGCCUUCGGUGUCCGAGUUGUAAUUUGAAGAUUGUAACCUUGGGGUUGGCUCUUGUCUAUGUUUCUUGGAACAGGACGUCACAGAGGGUGAGAAUCCCGUGCGAUGAGAUGCCCAAUUCUAUGUAAGGUGCUUUCGAAGAGUCGAGUUGUUUGGGAAUGCAGCUCUAAGUGGGUGGUAAAUUCCAUCUAAAGCUAAAUAUUGGCGAGAGACCGAUAGCGAACAAGUACAGUGAUGGAAAGAUGAAAAGAACUUUGAAAAGAGAGUGAAAAAGUACGUGAAAUUGUUGAAAGGGAAGGGUUUGAGAUCAGACUCGAUAUUUUGUGAGCCUUGCCUUCGUGGCGGGGUGACCCGCAGCUUAUCGGGCCAGCAUCGGUUUGGGCGGUAGGAUAAUGGCGUAGGAAUGUGACUUUACUUCGGUGAAGUGUUAUAGCCUGCGUUGAUGCUGCCUGCCUAGACCGAGGACUGCGAUUUUAUCAAGGAUGCUGGCAUAAUGAUCCCAAACCGCCCGUCUUGAAACACGAACCA